rnacentral:lncRNA from 1 species
AGAAAAUGGAUUUUUUUGGAGGGAGCAGGGGGUACUGAUGACUGAAUCCAGGGUCACUCUACCAGUAAGCUACAUCCCCAACCCCGCCUUUUUUCCCCAUUUUUGAAUUUUGAGAUAGGGUCUCACUAAGUUGACUCAGGCUGGCCUCAAACUUGCAAUCCUCCUGCCUUAGCCUCCUGAGUAGCUGGGAUUAAAGGCAUGUUUCACUAAACCCAACAAGAAAAUAGGAUUUUUCUGUACAUUUCUUUGAAUUACAUACAAACACAGGCCUUCAUUUCAACCAUCUGAUCUAGCAGAACAAAGGUGGGUUUUGGCAUUAGACUUGAGUUUGAAUUGUGGCUGUAGGACGUACUGGUUGUGUGCUCUUGGGUAGGUGACUGCAUUCUUAGAAUGUCAGUGCCCUCAUCUUUGAAAUGGGGGUUCCAUAACACACUUGGCAGUGGGGUCACAGGGAUGUGCCAAAAUAACACACAGCACAGGGAAGAGGAGGGUGUCUGCCACGCUGACAGUGACUAGCAUAUGGAACUCCAGCCGAGGCCUGCCCCUUCUGCUCAGAAGUGACUCCAACUUGCCAGUCCUGACUUCUGAGAGCUUUUGCUAAAAAUGUAAGAGUCUGUCCUUAGAAGAAUAAUACUGGACAGAUUUGUGGAGCCUCUUGCUGCACGCCAGGCAUGUGCACCUUGGCUUCCAUAUAGUGCUGCCUCCCACAUCUGGAGCAGCAGCCUCUCCAGGGGCUGAGGAGGGGGAACAAGCCUGAUCACAGAGGCAUGUAGAGACCUCCUACGGAAAGCGUGGCUUUGCCUCAGUGUCAGCUGCUAAGAUUGGGUUUUUUUUCCUAAGAAAUAAAGAUGAAAAGGAGUCAGUUGUACUUUCUUUUCUUUUUUUUGUGGGUACCAGGGAUUGAACUCAGGGGCAUUGGCCACUG